GAAUUGGUAAAAACAUUAUUCUAUAACAAAUGUCUGCUCUUCCAUUUGGUUUUAAUUCAUCUAUAGAUGAUAAGAAUUUGCUCUGAUCAACCACCUUCAUUAACAUCAAUAGCCAAAGCUCAAAGAUUCCGACUUUUUUUUUUUUAGUUUUAAAACCCAAGCCCACAAUCUCCAAGAUAUGAAGUAAUCUGCAGCAUUUAGUUAUGAAUUUAUACGCAAUAUGAAACGAAGCUAUGGAUCAGGAAAUUGCUUAGACGUUGGAUAAAUUACAGCUAUAUGCAUACCUCCACCACCAUCUGUGGUCCUCGGCAGCAAGUUGUAAAUGGGUCAGUGCCACCGUAAUUAAAGCAGUGACUAUCAGAAGAGUAAUAAAGAUGAUGAACAAGAUGCCGUAAAUGGUAUAAAUCCUGUGACCCCACACACUAGCAAAGAUGUAGUAAAGUUCGUUGUGUAUAAGAAUGAAUGGCAGCAAUCCUGCAAUUGCCAUUUGAGGAAUUGUUUGCCGAUACCAUCUCAAUGGUGGAAUCUCUCUGGGAAUUUUGGCGGUGCGACAAGGAGCUUGGAACUCAGCCUUGCUGUUCUUCCCAAUAAUUCCACCUAAAACGAGCAAAGGAGAUGAUACGAGUGUCCAUAUAAGAGCUAUCACAACAAUCGUGCCAGGAGGAAGAGCUGCAGUGGCAGUAUAAGCAACUGCAACAGCAUUCAGGAAGCAAAAUAUGAGCAAGAGAGGUCCACAGAAGAGACAUCCUGUCAACAAUAGAUUUCUAACCUGCCACAAGUAAAGAUAAAAUUAACAUAGAACCUCAAGUAGUCGAGUUAGAAAAAUUAUUUCUUUCACCAAACCCAUCCCUGCUAAGAAAGUCCAUGAGCAAAUACCCAGUUUGUUCCUCCAAGCUGACAGUAAAAUGAGGUUGAUGUAUAUCCUGCAAUUCCUGAUGUGAGAGCAUAUAAGACAACCAAUGCGGUGAGUAAAGCCCCCCGGUUGUAUGGAUAAAACACUCCUACCAGUGCCAACAUAAAAAUGAAGACCGUGCUGCAAGGCACAAAGAAAGCAUGUCAAUUUUCUCAGAAGCAAUAAUAACAGUAAGGGACGAACAAAUCACUUACAGAGUCAAUAGCUGGGUUCCGGAACCGAGGCAGGCUGCAAACAGAGACUUGUGCUUGGGAUACCUAAAUACAUCUCCAUGAAUGCAUUUCCAACCAGUCUCUUCCUGAUCUUCGGCUAAUUCCUCGUCAUUAGCAUAUCUAAAUCAAAACAGAAAGUACCAUUGAGCAAAGACAAGCCAUACAUACACACCCUAGGACAUGGGAAGAUUGAACACACUUACUGACAUGGAUAUAAUCAACCAAAAACACAAUUCUUACUUGACAGAGUCAUUGUUAAGGAUUCGCAAGAUUGCGGCAAGAAAUCCAGCAAGAAGAAGAACUGCCAUGCAUGAAUUUAUAACGGAAUUCCAAUGGAUCCCUAAAUGAUGGGGCAUCGAAGAUGACUGAGAGUACUUAGCCAUCCUCUUCUCAAAAGGGACAUCUGUUUCCUUCCACUCCACGGUAGACAGAAACUCCACAUCUACCUCUUUAUCCUCAGUAAGUUCCACCAUCGUUUUCGUAUCAAAGAGAGACGUAAUCUCAAUCACACGAUCCUUAUUGUAAUAAAUAUUUAAAUGGAUAUGAUUGAAAAGGUAGUAUCUUUGUUGCAUCUUAUCAACCAUCCCCAAGAACACCCAGUUGGGCAAGUCAUCAAAAUACAUUUGAGAAUAAUAGUCCUCAUGAACAGCAGCUCGAAACUUGGCAACAUCUUCCUUUGAUAACUUCUUCUUGCAAACAGGUACAGAUUUUCUUUCGCGUAGAAAUUCAACAGGGAAAGGCCCACUUACCAAACGAUCACCAUUCAGCACUUCACCUACAGACAGCCUUUUCUCCGUCGCAUUAACUACAAACAAAACCAAAUCAGAUAAAAGAAAAAAAAGAGUGUCAUUGGAGGGGAGGGACUCUAACCUGGCAAACAAUACGGAAGAUCAAAAUAACGGUAGGUUUCGCUGGAAAUUAAAAAAAAAAAAAAAAAACAAAAAGCGUUAACUAUGAAAACAAGAAAAAGAAAGCAAUUGAACAAGAAUUCACUAGUUUUACCUAGGAUUGUGAAAGGGUCCGACUUUGUUAACAUAGAAGGGAACCUGGUCUCCUUGUCUGUACCGAUGAACUGAUUCAUCUGAACUAGCCUGGUCCACACUCAAGACUAACAAAACGGAGACGAACAAAGUCGCCGGUAAUAUCUUCUCCGCCAUUAUGUUGUUGAACAAAUGCUAGUGUUGCUAGUGUAGAUGUAUAGCGUUGACUUGUAAGGAAGCAGAAAGAAAGAGAGAAAGUGAUGACGAACAUUCAAACAUGUAUCUUGCCGGACCCCCACUAGAGGAUUAAGCAUAAAUGGUCUUAUACUUUGCUUUACGGGCAUGUUGGUAUUUUUAUAUUGGUUUUUUUUUUUUUUUUUUUUGUUAUUGUUGGGUGGUUCCAAGAGUGAUUUGGUAAUUUAAUUAAUAUACAAAUAAUACAAAAAGGCAAACCUGCUGGCAUGUUUGUUGAACACGCCAGCAAGUGCGCCUCUCCUUCGUCUUCAAUUUUUUUAAUGGGCUAGAAAUAUAAGGCUAGAUAUGAUUUUUUAUUUCUUCCUAUGAUAGAACAAAAGAAAAAUAAGCUUUUAGUUUAGCAAUUAAAAGAGUCACUCAAAUGAACCCUUCUUAGCCCAAUUUUAUCACGUAAAAGACUGAAUCACACAGAAAUGCAGAUGAGAAAAUGAGACACUUCCGUUUUAUUUUUUCCAUAUAGCUUAUUCAGAGUCGAAUUAAUAAUAAUAAUAAUAAUAAUAAUACAACCACAACAACAACUUUAAACCAAAAUUAUUCUAAAAAAAAAUAUCUUACAACAAAAUCUAGAUGUCUUGACGAGUUAAUUUAUGAAUUAAUUGAUUUGGUCAAACCCUAUCAUCACAUAUAAUUUUUUUAAAUAAUAAAAUAAUAUUAUUUUAAUUAAAAAACAAAUUAAUUUAGUGACUUGUUAAUUGAUUUAAUGUCUGUUUGUUUUUAAGAUACAACUUUCGGAUGCAUCUUGAAAAGCAUCUUUUUAAUGAGAUUAAAUCAAGUUUUAAUGACUCAAUGAACCAAAUUUUUUAACGAGUCAAACCUUAAAUUGGAUUUAACAAUUAUGAUCCAUACUAGUUAUUAAUUGGAUGAUUAAAAGAAUAACUUGAAAGGAUUUUGCAUAUUAUACUCAUGAACUUACAACUCAUAUCGACCAAGAAUCCUUAAUUAUUAUUAAUUAUUUUGUUUUUUUAAUUACUAUUUUUAUAUGUAUUUUUAAAAACAAUUUUUGCGUUUAUGUUUUAAUUAAUACCCCUUCUCCAUAAUUUUUGGUUUCUUUAACCUUUUAAAAUUUUUAUUUUAUUCGAUAAAUUUUAUGUGUGUUUUAGAUUUUUGUUACAUAUUGAUUUUCAUAAAUCUAUUUAUUAAACAUCACCGGGUAAAUGACCUGUAUUGCGAUAUUAAAUAUCUUGAUCGAUAUUUAUCACUUAAUUUUCUCAAUUAUGUUUUUAUUUAUCUUUGAUUGCUUUUUUUUUUUAAUUUAUUUACAGAAUAGUUUGUAAUUUAUGUACUUAGAUAUAUUCAUGAGCUUUUCUAUUUACAUUUAAGAUUUUUUUAAUGUAAAAAGAUGCGUAGAAAGAUUCUACAUUUUUUUUUAUCAUAUAUUAGUGUUUUCAAUUUGAUCAUUAUUUUUUUUAUUUUCUCUUGACCAUUUUAUAAAAAAUUUAUUAUUUUUAAUUUCACCCUUCAAUCCAAGUUGAUUGUCUAUUAGUUUUUUUUAGUUUUUAUUCUUUUGAUUUUAUUUUUUUGUUAAUAUUUUUAUUCUUUUCAAUUUAAUUCUCAAAUUAAAAAAAUUUUCUUGCCAUUUGAUUUUUUUUAUAUGAUUUCAACUCUCAUUCUUUUAAUUGUUAUUUUUUUAAUUUUUUUGUCUAUUUUUUUUUCAAGUCAUCCUUCAGCGUUUCAUUUCCUACGGAUUGAGUUUCAUGAUUUUUUCAUGUAUAGUGAUUUAGCUAUGAUGACUUGACUCAUAUGUUUGAAAAGUUAACAAGGAUCGACAUCUUUUUUUUUUUUUCCUUUUCUAAUAUCAUUGUUCGAUGUUUGUUUUUUUUUAAUAGUUUUGUAGUUAUUUUCAAUUUUUUUUCUACCAAAUUAUCUUGGUCUCAUGACCUAGAAAGCAUAUUUGACAAGUUAAUUCGGGCUGUCUUGCCCUUUAAUGUCUAGCUACAUGUCUACAAUGCUAACUCGGUUCACACUAGUGUUUUUUUUAUCUUUUUUUUACUAUGUUUUGUUCUUCCAUGUUUAAUUAGUUAAAAAUUAAACAUUUUUUUUUUUGCUCUCAAAUAAAUUUUUUUUCCCAUACAAUCAUGAUAUAUAUGUAGCCUCUUUUUUUUCUAUAAAAUUUAAAUAAAGCUAAUUUUUCUAGUUGACCGAGACUGGAACCGAGUCAUUAGAUUUAUUUAAAAAAAAAAACUUACAACGCAUAAAUAUUUUAUUAAAAAAAUAGUGUGCACUUGCAGCAGUAAUGCAGCCACAAUCUAGUACAUGUUAAACCAAGUUAAGUUUUCUGAUAUCAAACAGGAACUGGCCUAAGAAACACCAAAUAGGUUGGGGACUAUUUUGUAGUUACCCUAUAAAAAUAAUUAGAAAUGAAUUUCUUAAAUUUAAAUUUAAAUUACUCAUAUUUUUUUCCCGGUGUGGUUUAUUUACUUAUUUACUAAUUUCAAUAGUUAAAUCAAUUUUUAUGUUUGGAAUUUUUAUUAAGGUAUUGAUUAAAAUUCCAAAUGAAAUUUAAACUAUAAAAAUAGAUAAAAACAAAUAACAAUUCCAAAAUAAAAAAAAUAUAUUAUUCCAAAAACAAUCCUCUUUCUUUUCUCUCAUAAACCUUACAACCUCUCAAUAGUGAUGAUUCCUUAUUCCUUUCUCCUCUCCUUAGUUCAACUAUUUAUCAGGAAAGCUAUCAAUACCAUUGCUAAGUUUAUAGAAAUUCUAGGCAGUAUCGUUAGUGGGUUUGCACUGCCAUUGAAAGAAGAACAUCAUAUGUUCUUGUUCGUGCUAUGAUUCCUCUGUACAAGCCAAUAUGCUUAGCAAUGUACCACCAACAAUUAUCCUGUUGCUUACGCAGUUUGUGGAGAAAGACUGCAAGCUUUCUGAUACUGUAAUACAGGGAUUCUUAAAGUACUGGCCUGUCACUAAGCCAUGUUCCUAGAUGAGCCGGAGGAGGUUUUGGAAGCAACCCGGCCACCGGAAUUCCAGUGCUGUAUAAUGCCCCUGUUUCAGCAGCUUGCUCGGUGUUUGAACAGCUCACACUUUCCGGUAACAAGAUUCUAAUAUCUGAUACUUCUUUAUAUGUGCUCAACUCAUUUCGCUCUUGUAACAUGCUUCUCACUAAUUAUUUAUGGAAAAAUAUGAAUUAAAGAUAAAGUAGUUAAGAUUACUACUUCAAUUCAAUUUUAUAGGUAUUUAAAAUAUUGGAAUUGAAUUCAAUUAUAUAAUUCAAUAUUUUAUUAUAACUGUAAAAACUAUAUUAGAUUAAGAAUGUUAAUUCAAUUCAAUUUUACAGGUAUUUAAAAUAUUGUAAUUGAAUUCAAUUAUAUAAUUUAAUAUUUUAUUAUAAACAUAAAAAUUAUAUUAAAUUAUCAAUUGAAUUCAAAUUAAUGUGCAAAUAAAUUCAAUUUCAAGACUGUAAUGCAAUGAAAGUGUCUUGGCAUUUUUUUGCAAGAUGUGUAGUAAUAGCAAUUUUAUAACAAAGAUGCUAAAAUAACAUUUUGUUUAACUUUCUUUUAAAGUAUGAAAAACAAGUAAAGAAAAGUCAAAAUAUUGCUUUUUUUAUUUUAUUUUUGGCUCUCCAUUUCCAUUUAGCACCUGGGUUAGAGUUGCUCCGACGAGGGCUCACAGCCUACUCACACUUGAUUGAACCAUAUACAUGCCGGACAAAACGCAAAGCAGCAAGAUAACCUACAGUGCCCAGCAUAAGGAAGCAUCCAAAAGAGAUGCAAGCCAUGUACCCAAACAUGAAGGAGGUUUGCAUGAAACCAGACAUUUCUGAGAGCGCGUAGUAGUAAUAAAAGCAGUAGGCAUAUAUAAAUAAGCCAGUUGAUCCGCCACAGAGAAAGGACCUGUCACCAAAUAAAGCAAAUUUAUCAAUCCUCCGACACUCGGAUAUCAGGCAGAAAACUGCAGUUAACAUCCAUUCAAGGUGGACCAACGAUGAAUUAGUAAAAACAUUAUUCUAUAACAAAUGUCUGCUCUUCCAUUUGGUUUUAAUUCAUCUAUAGAUGAUAAGAAUUUGCUCUGAUCAACCACCUUCAUUAACAACAAUAGCCAAAGCUCAAAGAUAUGAAGUCAUCUGCAGCAUUUAGAUAUGAAUUUAUAUGCAAUAUGAAACGAAGCUAUGGAUCAGGAAAUUGCUUAGACGUUGGAUAAAUCACAGCUGAAUGCAUACCUCCACCACCAUCUGUGGUCCUCCGCAGCAAGUUGUAAAUGGGUCAAUGUGGCCGUAAUUAAAGCAGUGACUAUCAGAAGAGUAAUAAAGAUGAUGAACAAGAAGCUGUAAAAGGUAUAAAUCCUGUGACCCCACACACUAGCAAAGAUGUAGUAAAUUUCGGUGUGUAUAAGAAUGAAUGGCAGAAAUCCCGCGAUUGCCAUUUGAGGAAUUGUUUGCCGAUACCAUCGCAAUGGUGGAAUCUCUCUGGGAUUUUCGGCG
rnacentral:lncRNA from 1 species